rnacentral:tRNA from 2 species
AGUUAAUAAGCUAUAAAAGCAUUUGUUUUGAAAACAAAAGAUAGAACUAAUUGUUCUAUUAACUU